GCAGUCGAACGAACUCUGGUAUUGAUUGGUGCUUGCAUCAUGAUUUACAUUUGAGUGAGUGGCGAACUGGUGAGUAACACGUGGGAAACCUGCCCAGAAGCGGGGGAUAACACCUGGAAACAGAUGCUAAUACCGCAUAACAACUUGGACCGCAUGGUCCGAGCUUGAAAGAUGGCUUCGGCUAUCACUUUUGGAUGGUCCCGCGGCGUAUUAGCUAGAUGGUGGGGUAACGGCUCACCAUGGCAAUGAUACGUAGCCGACCUGAGAGGGUAAUCGGCCACAUUGGGACUGAGACACGGCCCAAACUCCUACGGGAGGCAGCAGUAGGGAAUCUUCCACAAUGGACGAAAGUCUGAUGGAGCAACGCCGCGUGAGUGAAGAAGGGUUUCGGCUCGUAAAACUCUGUUGUUAAAGAAGAACAUAUCUGAGAGUAACUGUUCAGGUAUUGACGGUAUUUAACCAGAAAGCCACGGCUAACUACGUGCCAGCAGCCGCGGUAAUACGUAGGUGGCAAGCGUUGUCCGGAUUUAUUGGGCGUAAAGCGAGCGCAGGCGGUUUUUUAAGUCUGAUGUGAAAGCCUUCGGCUCAACCGAAGAAGUGCAUCGGAAACUGGGAAACUUGAGUGCAGAAGAGGACAGUGGAACUCCAUGUGUAGCGGUGAAAUGCGUAGAUAUAUGGAAGAACACCAGUGGCGAAGGCGGCUGUCUGGUCUGUAACUGACGCUGAGGCUCGAAAGUAUGGGUAGCAAACAGGAUUAGAUACCCUGGUAGUCCAUACCGUAAACGAUGAAUGCUAAGUGUUGGAGGGUUUCCGCCCUUCAGUGCUGCAGCUAACGCAUUAAGCAUUCCGCCUGGGGAGUACGGCCGCAAGGCUGAAACUCAAAGGAAUUGACGGGGGCCCGCACAAGCGGUGGAGCAUGUGGUUUAAUUCGAAGCUACGCGAAGAACCUUACCAGGUCUUGACAUACUAUGCAAAUCUAAGAGAUUAGACGUUCCCUUCGGGGACAUGGAUACAGGUGGUGCAUGGUUGUCGUCAGCUCGUGUCGUGAGAUGUUGGGUUAAGUCCCGCAACGAGCGCAACCCUUAUUAUCAGUUGCCAGCAUUAAGUUGGGCACUCUGGUGAGACUGCCGGUGACAAACCGGAGGAAGGUGGGGAUGACGUCAAAUCAUCAUGCCCCUUAUGACCUGGGCUACACACGUGCUACAAUGGAUGGUACAACGAGUUGCGAACUCGCGAGAGUAAGCUAAUCUCUUAAAGCCAUUCUCAGUUCGGAUUGUAGGCUGCAACUCGCCUACAUGAAGUCGGAAUCGCUAGUAAUCGCGGAUCAGCAUGCCGCGGUGAAUACGUUCCCGGGCCUUGUACACACCGCCCGUCACACCAUGAGAGUUUGUAACACCCAAAGUCGGUGGG
rnacentral:rRNA from 1 species